AGAGUUUGAUCCUGGCUCAGGAUGAACGCUGGCGGUGUGCCUUAGGCAUGCAAGUCGGACGGGAUUUACACCUUCGGGUGUAAUGAGAGUGGCAGACGGGUGAGUAACGCGUAGAUAUCUACCUCGUAGUGAGGAAUAGCUCAUCGAAAGGUGGGGUAAUACCACAUAGUCCCUCAGGGGUAAAGGCUUCGGCCGCUAUGAGAGGAGUCUGCGUCCUAUCAGGUUGUUGGUGGGGUAAUGGCCUACCAAGCCUAUGACGGGUAGCCGGUGUGAGAGCACGACCGGCCACAAGGUCACUGAGACACGGGACCUACAUCUACGGAUGGCAGCAACCGGGAAUUUUGCGCAAUGGGCGAAAGCCUGACGCAGCGACACCGCGUGUGGGAAGAAGUUCUUCGGAAUGUAAACUACUGUGGCGAGGGAAGAAAUUUUGACUGUACCUCGCUAGAAAGCACCUGCUAACUACGUGCCAGAAGCCUCGGUAAUACGUGGGGUGCAAGCGUUAUCCGGAUUUACUGGGCGUAAACAGUUCCGUCGGCGUCUUUGUAAGUUACUUGCUUAGGCCUGGGGCUCAACUCCAGAUCUGCAAGUAAGACUGCGAUGAUUGACUCCGUUAGGGCAAGCUGGAGGUCGAGAUUCCCGAGCGACAUCCGUAGAUAUCAAGAGGAAUACCAGUCGCGAAGGCGGGCUUCUAAAACAGUACUGACGCUCAGGGACGAAAGCUUGGGUAGCAAAAGGGAUUAGAGACCCCUGUAGUCCAAGCCGUAAACAAUGUCUGCUAGUUGCCUGCUUUUCUUUGCAUAUUUUCAUGCAAAUUAGUAAGUAUGCAUAAUGUAGUCGCUACCCUCAGGUAACCCGCUAAGCGAACCGCCCGGGGAGUACGACCGCAAGGUUUAAACUUAAAGGAAUUAAUGGGGGAGCGCACAACCGUUGGAGCACCUGGUCUAAUUCGAUACAAAAGCGAAAAACCUUACCCGGGGUUGACAUGUACCUGCACGUCCUGGGAAACCAGAAUUUCUUCGAGAGUGGUACACAGGUGAUGCAUGGCCGUCGUCAGCUCGUGCCGCGAGACGUCCACUUAAGUGUGGUAACGAGCGCCACCCUUGCUGUCAGUUACCCGUCUCUGAUAGGACUGCCCCCCCAUUGCGGGGGAGGAAGAAGAGGACGAUGUCAAGUCAGCAUGUCCCUUACAUCCAGGGCUACACACAUCCUACAAUGGAGCCGACAACGGGUCGCGACGGAGUAAUCCUGAGCCAAUCCUUAUAAACGGCUCCUCAGUUCAGAUUGAGGGCUGCAAUUCGCCCUCAUGAAGCCGGAAUCGGUAGUAAUCGCAAAUCAGCAGGUUGCGGUGAAUACGUUCUCGCUCCUUGUACACACUGCCCGUCAAGCCAGCAAAGUCAGCAACGCCCGAAGCGGGUGACCGUAACCAUUACUGGAGCGGCUCAUCUACGGCGAGGUUGGCGAUGAGGACUAAGUCGUAACAAGGUAGCCGUA
rnacentral:rRNA from 1 species